ensembl:snoRNA U3 Small nucleolar RNA U3
AAGACUAUACUUUCAGGGAUCAUUUCUAUAGUACUUUACUAGUGGAAUGUGUUUCUAAAGUGAUAGUCUCGCUAUUCACGAUGACGAGCUGGGAUACUUCUCUCUGAGCGUAAACCUGGUAAGAAGAUAUGGCUUAUAGCCAAGGUCUUCUCACAUUGAUGAACGUUCGGGGUCUCCUCGGAGGCUUUGAGGGGAGAAGUGUGAUCAGAGUGGC